rnacentral:rRNA from 1 species
CGGAGGGUGCAAGCGUUAUCCGGAUUCACUGGGUUUAAAGGGUGUGUAGGCGGGCAGUUAAGUCAGUGGUGAAAUCUCCAGGCUCAACCUGGAAACUGCCAUUGAUACUAUCUGUCUUGAAUUCUGUUGAGGUGGGCGGAAUACAUCAUGUAGCGGUGAAAUGCUUAGAUAUGAUGUAGAACACCGAUUGCGAAGGCAGCUCACUAAGCAGCGAUUGACGCUGAGGCACGAAAGCGUGGGGAUCAAACAGGAUUAGAUACCCUGGUAGUCCACGCCCUAAACGAUGAUUACUCGACAUACGCGAUACACAGUGUGUGUCUGAGCGAAAGCAUUAAGUAAUCCACCUGGGAAGUACGACCGCAAGGUUG